AUUGGAGGCAGGAGGAAACAGAGGAAGCAAGAAGAAUUUCCUGGAAGGUAAUUAUUGUAAUAUAAGCAUACUUCGGAGAUAUUGCAGGUUCCGUUCCAGACCACUGCAACAGUGAAUAUCUCAAUCAAGAAGAUGACCACGGCCCCUCUGUUCCCUCGCCUGUGUGCCAAAUGGAUCCACAGCUAGAGACAAGCUCCUUCCCUUUGAACGGUGGGAAGCAGGCCAAGAUGUUUUAAAGACAGAUGGCAUCAGAUGCAGAGAAGCAAGCUGGAACUCGGAGCACAGCUGCCUUAUUUACUUACCUACUGGCUGCAUUUCUGAGAACCAGUUUUAUUCCUGUUCAAAGGAAGCCAGGCAGAGUUGGGAAAAUAUUUUCCUAGCCAGCUCCUUAGCACCACUGUCUGAGGGAAACCAUCUGGCCAAGAUGCCCUUCAACAUCACCGAGAACUACUGCCAUCAGCUAUAUAAUGAAACUAUUUUUAAGCAACAACAACAGCAGCAGAGAAGAGGGACCAACAGGGUCCAAUGCAUCAGAGGGGUCCAAACUGAUGCCACAGUUUUUUAAAUCCAUUCCUCCAUCGACACUUGGGUGGUUCCAUAUCUUGACUAUUGUGAAGAAUGCUGCGUGAAAAUAGAAGUGCAGCCUGAGCUUUUGCUGCGAUCUCCAAAAAAUCAUUGCCAGUUGGAUGUGGUGGCUCACACUUAUAAUCCCAGCACUUUGGGAUGUGAGGUGGGAGGAUCACUUGAGUCCAGAGGUUCGAGACCAGCCUGGGCAACAUAAGGAGAUGCUGUCUCUACCAAAAAGGAAAAAGAAAAUGAAAAAAAUCAUUGCCAAGGCAACUGUCCAGGAACUUUUCCUCCAUGUUUUCUUCUAGGAGUUUUAUAGUUUCAGAUCUUGCAUUUAGGUUUUUUUAAAAAAAUCUAUUUUGAGUUGAUUUUUGUGUAUGGUGUCAGAUAAGGGUCUAGUGUCAUUCUUUUGCAUGUGGAAAUCCAGUUUUCCUGGCAUCAUUUAUUGAGAAGACCAUCCUUGCCCCAUUUUGUCCUCUUGGAGCCCUUGACAAAAAUGAGUUGACCAUAUAUGUUUGAAAUUAUUUCUAGGCUGUCUCUUCUGUUCCGUUGGCCUAUAUGUCUUUUUUUCUGUCAGUACCAUACUGUUUUGUUUACUAUGGUUUUGAAAUAUAUAGUAAUUUUUCACUAUAUUUUUAAAUUUUUAACUUUUACUAUAUUUUAAAGUAAUUGUUAAAUCAAGAAAUGUAACGCUUCAGAAUGCCUUCAGGAUGGCUAAUCAUUAACAGUUUUCUUUCAGAAACUGUAAGAAUUUAACACAAAAAGUAGUUUGGAAGCACACAUUAAGGAGUUACCGGAAGAAGUUUCUUUUCCUAAAUGUGCCUAUAGGACCAGAUACAAAUCCAGCCCUGAAUAAUAAAUGGAAGAUUUCUAUUUGUAUUUCUUUCUUAGAAUUGUUUUGGCUAUUUGGGGUCUUUUGUGGUUCUGUAUGAAUUGUAGGAAUUUUUUUUUUCUAUUUCCAUGAAGAAUGUCAUUGGGAUUUUGAUAAGAAUUGUGUCAAGUCUGUAUAUUGCUUUGGAUAAUAGGGACAUUUUAACAAUAUUAAUUCUUCUGAUCCAUGAGCACAGAAUAUCUUUCCAUUUGUUUAUAUCUUUUUUAGUUUUUUUAUUGAUGCUUUAUACUUUUCAAUGUACAGAUCUUUCAUCUCCUUGAUUAUUUCUCCCAAGUAUUUUAUUUUAUUUUAUUUUAUUUUAUUUUAUUUUUGAUGAUAUCACAAAUAAGAUUGUGUUUGUUAUUUCUUUUUCAGCUAGGUCAUUAUUUGUGUAUAAAAAUGCUACUAAUUGGGGCCAGGCGUGGUGGCUCAUGCCUGUAAUCCCAGCACUUUGGGAUGCCGAGGUGGGUGGAUCACCUGAGGUCAGGAGUUCAAGACCGGCCUGGCCAACAUGCUGAAACACCAUCUCUACCAAAAAAUACAAAAAUUAGCCAGGCGUGGUGGUGCAUGCCUGUAAUCUCAGCUAUUUGGGAGGCUGAGACAAGAGAAUUGCAUGAACCCGAGAAGCGGAGGUUCCAGUGAGCUGAGAUUGCACCACUGCACUCCAGCCUGGACGACAGAGUAAGACUCUGUCUCAAAAAACAAACAAACAAACAAAAAAGCUAUUGAUUUUUAAAAAAUGUUCGAAACACAUUUAUUUUCUAAAUCACCUGAAGUUGACUUAUAUAAGAUAAUUUCAACAAAUAAAAUGUUCAAUGAAAAAUUGUGGUAUGCAACGUACUUAUGUCAUUACAAGUUGA
rnacentral:lncRNA from 1 species